CGCCGCGCCGCGCCCCCAGAAGCUGGCCCAGAAGGACCGGCCCGGGACUGCGAGAAGAAACGUGGCGCGAGGCUAUGAGGCAGAUCCGGGUCCGCCCGCCCGCCGGGGCAGGGGCACGCACAGCACCCCCUGCCGCCCCGCCCCGGCCCAAGGGCGGCCCCGGUACCUUGCGGAGAGGCUGCUUCUUCGGUAGCUGACAAAGGGGCAGUUGUGCAAGAUUAAUUCAGCCUGUGAUGAUGGCAAAGUUGAAGAACAGAGUGGGGGUAACGGGCACUUGUUUUCUCUGUUUAUAAUCAUGCCACAAAGGCCUUGCAAACAUAACUACAUCUAUGAUCCCUGCCCCCUCCCCAGCUUUCCUUCAUUGUCAUUAUAUUACAAUAACCUCUAGGAGCUCCAGGGAAGAUCCAGACGACGCCGUGCCAUACACUACAUAAUUAUACAGUAAGAGAGAGUUCCUUUUCUGAAGGGCCGAAUGCAAGUAGACAAGACUGACAAAAGGAAACAGAAGCACUAGAAGGUGAAGGGACUCUGCUAAGGUCAGAGCACAAUUUAGAAACAAGGCCACAAUCAGAACUCAUGUCUUCCCAUAGUUCAGAGCUCUCUAGCACAGCACGCACUUGACCUACUGCCAGGGACCGCCGUCCAGACAGGCUUGUACGCAAUGGAAA